CUCAUGUCACCCAGAAUCGAGAUGGAGUGACGGCUGAUAAACUGCAUGGUGACAGGCUGCGGCCUUGGAAGAAAAAAGUCUAGAUGCGGGAUAAAAAAAAAAAAAAGCUGAUGGAUUAGUUAUCGGCCUCCCAAUUCUCCUCAUCCUGGAUUAUUUCUGAACACUUCAGAAGCAUUUAUUUUCAGAUACAGCAGUGGGAACUGUGGGCCCAGCUUUUUCCCAGAUGACAGACAGUCAAGUGGUCAUUGUCACCUGCACACUCAGCCAUAUCGAUACGCUGGGGGCUGCAACCAUUUCCAGGGAAGAUCUGCAAGUAGGAGGAAACUUCAUUUGCCAUCUCCUGUCUGUCCUCAGAGUGGCAGAGACCUUGUUCAAGCCUCA